ACGGGUGAGUAACGCGUGGAUAACCUGCCGUAUACAGGGGGAUAACACUUAGAAAUAGGUGCUAAUACCGCAUAAGCGCACGGUUCCGCAUGGAACAGUGUGAAAAACUCCGGUGGUAUACGAUGGAUCCGCGUCUGAUUAGCCAGUUGGCGGGGUAACGGCCCACCAAAGCGACAAUCAGUAGCCGGCCUGAGAGGGUGAACGGCCACAUUGGGACUGAGACACGGCCCAAACUCCUACGGGAGGCAGCAGUGGGGAAUAUUGCACAAUGGGGGAAACCCUGAUGCAGCGACGCCGCGUGAGUGAAGAAGUAUCUCGGUACGUAAAGCUCUAUCAGCAGGGAAGAAAAUGACGGUACCUGACUAAGAAGCCCCGGCUAACUACGUGCCAGCAGCCGCGGUAAUACGUAGGGGGCAAGCGUUAUCCGGAUUUACUGGGUGUAAAGGGAGCGUAGACGGCAGCGCAAGUCUGGAGUGAAAUGCCGGGGCCCAACCCCGGAACUGCUUUGGAAACUGUGCAGCUCGAGUGCAGGAGAGGUAAGCGGAAUUCCUAGUGUAGCGGUGAAAUGCGUAGAUAUUAGGAGGAACACCAGUGGCGAAGGCGGCUUACUGGACUGUAACUGACGUUGAGGCUCGAAAGCGUGGGGAGCAAACAGGAUUAGAUACCCUGGUAGUCCACGCCGUAAACGAUGAUUACUAGGUGUCGGGGGGCCAAGGCCCUCCGGUGCCGCCGCAAACG
rnacentral:rRNA from 1 species